AUGCCGAUGGCACUGGAAAUUAUGAUUACUAUAUCCGCACAGCCUCAUACCUGGACUACUUGGGUAAUUCUCAUCAACAUUUCGUAUGAAAGGCGCAUCAAGCCCUACCUGAUUCCCCUCGUGUGCCUAAAGAUGCAUUUUAUUGCCACUAACAAAAUGGUGAGCUAUUAUAAAAAAAGGCACACCAUGAUAAUUAAGAUGAUUCUUCAAAUGGGAGAUGUUCCAAAAUUUAGUGAUUACCUGAUGUUUCAGAUAAUGAUCAGGAUGAUUGACAAGGAAGAAAUGUUCCACAAGCUUGCUAACUGA
rnacentral:rRNA from 1 species